UGGUAAGACAUCAUAGUAUAUUUAAAAGGCAAGCUACAAAAUGGCAAUGGACAAGCAAGACCCUUUAGCUACAACUAACCUACUGUCCACAUGUCAGGUUAGAUUUUUUUUUUUUAACUUGACUUUCAUACUUUGACACUGACUUACCUGGAUGUCAAACUAAAUUAGACCAAAGAAAGGAAAUAUUCUUAAGUAAUAGUGAAUGGGUCUACUGUACUUUUUAAAAAAAACAUGGCUAAUUAGGUAGUUACAAUACAAAAAGGUAAAAAUAGGCAGAGGUGACAUUAAGAUGAACUUUGAAUCCUUACAGAUGUACAGAAUAAAAUAGCUGUAAAGCUUUUUAGUUUGUCACAGGAAGUGCUCUCCCUGUCAUUACCUUGCUAUUUAUUUAUUUGUUUAUUUAUUUAUUUGUUUAUUUCUCUAUUUAUUUAUUUUUACCCAAAAUAACACCUUUUCCUAUCUAACCAAUGGCUAACUGAAAAAUCUUACCAUACUGUCACAGAAGUAUUUUAAAUGAGUAGCUUUAAGAAUUUUAAAUAUCUGCAAAACAUUUUAUGCAUCAAGGAUCAAAACAGAAGAGAAAUCUAAAUUCACUCAUGCUGAAAUAUUUUCACUUACAUCUGAUAGUACGUCACCUUCAGCUCAAGAUAUGUCUUUGAAAACAGGACCUAAUAAAGAAAAGUGAAAGGUUCCAUGAAAUAUUGCUUUUCUGGCCCACAGCCCAAGAAUAUAUCGAGGAAAAUGCACGAAGAUCUGUGUGGUCAAAACUAAAAAGUUUGUUCCUAUGUUACCGAGAUCUUCAAGCAUUCAGUUUCCAGGAUGAAACAGAAUCUGCUCUCUGUAUCAAAAAGUGCAGGAACUGGGAAGAAUCUCACAGAUAUCUGGUCUUGAUCCCGCAGUGGUCAUCCCUGAGUACACAGCUUCGUUUUCAAUACUUCCAUUUAAAGUAUUUCUCUGCUAAAUUCCAACUUCUUCAGCCAUGUGAUGAUGCAUGAGCCAAAUCUGGAAGUGUACCCCAUAAAUCACAAACAGAUCAACUCUGUGAGCUGGGGAGAAACCUCUACUCCACCGUCUUUUAAAGGAUGACUACAAAGUAACUUUUCAUUAUCUAGCUUCACACAAAAUUUUCCCCUUCAAAAACUUCACAACCAAGAAUUAUGUGGAUACUUUGAAAUGUUCUGAGAAGCAUAGAGAAACAGACAAAAAGCCUAAAAUAUCAGUUUAGUAGCAGCUGGGUGAACUGUCAUUGUCCUAGUUAGCUUAAAUGUUCCACAGCCAAUUUCUGUAGCUUCCUCAACUCUCUGGAUUUUAAAAGUUCUAAUUGACUCCAGAACCUCACUGUAGCUGACAUCUGUAUGUUUCUAGAUCAAUUUGACAAGUUAAGAAAUCCUCUGGAACUUGGAACAUGAAGAAGUGUAGUGUAGAGUUGUACUGGGUUGAUCCUGGAUGGAUGCCAGGCACCUACCAAAGCUGCUCUGUCGCUCCCCUCUGCAAGUAGACAGGAGAGAGAAAAUAGAACAAAAGGUUCAUAAAUUGAGAUAAGGACAGGGAGAGAUCACUCACUGAAAAUCAUCCCCACUGAUCUCCAGGGGCACAGCUGCUUCACCAAGGUCUUCAUCACAGGCUGCAGGGGAAGCUCAGCUCCGGCGCCUGGAGCACCUUGUCUCCAUCCUUCUCCCCUGACCUUGGUGUCUGCAGAGUUGUUGCUCUCACAUGUUCUCACUCCGCUCUUCUCUGGAUGCAAUUACUUAUGCACAAUAACUUCUUUUUUCCUUCUUAAAUAUGUUAUCAUUCUUAAUUGAUUAAGUCUUGGCCAGCCAGUCCACCCUGGAGCCAGCUGGCAUUGGCUCUACCAGAAAUGGGGGAAGCUUCCGGCAGCUUCUCACAGAAGACAACCCUGUAGCCCCCCGGUACCAAAAUCUGCCCACACAAACCCAAUACAAUACAGGUAAGAGUUUAGCACAGAGCUGAUUUCACUUUUGUAGAGUUUGUUGAUGCAGGUCCUUUGGUGUGGCAUCUAUACUGCUGCUGAACCUGAGCUUGGCCAAAACAUGGUAUAGCUUGCUUUUUUCUUCCCCCCUCCCCCAUGAUAUUUGAACUAUUAAAAAGCACAAAAUACAAUCUGACUCAAAACAAGAACCAGCUCAAAUGCACCCAUGGCACUGACAAUCUGAAUCAUAAAAAACAACUGAAUAGGGGAGGAUCUUUUUACCUUUUGGCAUUUCUUGUAUCGCAGGUGAUGGUUCUGAUCCACUGGUUACCAACUGACCAUCCUGUUAGAAAUAAAUGAAGAAGAAUAUUUCUUCAAAUAAAUGACUGAAUAUGUUUAAGAAAUAUCUCUCUCACAGAAUCUCCUUUCUCUGUCAUUAACCUGUUAUGUAUAUACAUUAUGUGUAUAUAUAUUAAUUCAAAUUUAUAUUCUCUCUUUAUUGUUUUCCUUUUACUUUUUGAAUGAAUGAAUGAAUGAAUGAGUGAAAUGAUGCAGUAUUACUGUAAGUCAUAUAAGUAGUUUAUUAAAAAGGCUACGGGGGAUUCUGCAGCUAAUUAUUACUCCAUCCAAAUACUCCUGACAACACCCUACAGUUAGACCCAGCUGCUCUUCAAGUUUCUAUGUCUCAUAGGUGGCUACUUUGCCACAAUUAUUUUUCUAGUUUGAAAGUCAGUGGUAACAAUUGUUGAUGUCUGACAAAUAGAUACAGAGAAAAAGCAUUUAGUGACAUAAUUUUAUACAUGCAAUUAGUUUCAUGGGGCUUAGUUUUUCAGAAAUAUGUAAAGCUGGAUGCAGUUAUAUAGUAUGAAUAUUUGAGAGUAGAUGCUAGAAAUCUGGCUAAAUAUCUCUUCUGUAUGAACACUUUGCAGUCAACUGGAAAUCUGGUCCAUGUAUGUUUUUCAAAUCUUUUUUCCUGAUUUCCUUAAGCCAUUUUCAGUUUAGGUGAUCACUGUAAAACAAGGAUAUGUAACAUAUAGACUACACAUGAAUGAGAA